rnacentral:rRNA from 1 species
CAGUCGCCGCGGGAAUACGUAGGUGGCAAGCGUUGUCCGGAAUUAUUGGGCGUAAAGCGCGCGCAGGUGGUUUAAUAAGUCUGAUGUGAAAGCCCACGGCUCAACCGUGGAGGGUCAUUGGAAACUGUUAAACUUGAGUGCGGGAGAGAAAAGUGGAAUUCCUAGUGUAGCGGUGAAAUGCGUAGAGAUUAGGAGGAACACCAGUGGCGAAGGCGGCUUUUUGGCCUGUAACUGACACUGAGGCGCGAAAGCGUGGGGAGCAAACAGGAUUAGAUACCCCUGUAGUCCCUGUCUCUUAUAC